rnacentral:rRNA from 1 species
AUGCCAUGCCUCUUUAAACCGGACAUGCAUCGUACUUGGUUGCGCAUCAUGCCAUGUUUAUGUGAUGGUUGUUUACUAGGUUGUUUGCUUCUUUCUGGUUUGCUUCUCUCGUUACGGGUUUCGUUCCGGAGUUGUGAGGAUUCGUUCGACACGCCCGUUCGUCUUCUUCUUGGACUCGUUCUUCUUCCUUGCGGGAUCUCAGGCAAGAUGACCAUAUCCUCAAAAUCACUUCUAUCUUUGCUUGCUAGUUGUUCGCUCUAUUGCUAUGCCGCGCUAUCUACCACUUGCUAUAUCAUGCCUCCCAUAUUGCCAUGA